rnacentral:rRNA from 1 species
GACGUAGGGCGCGAGCGUUGUCCGGAUUUAUUGGGCGUAAAGAGCUCGUAGGCGGCUCAUUGCGUCAACCGUGAAAACCUGCCGCUCAACGGUAGGCUUGCGGUUGAUACGGGUGGGCUGGAGUUCGGCAGGGGAGACUGGAAUUCCUGGUGUAGCGGUGAAAUGCGCAGAUAUCAGGAGGAACACCGGUGGCGAAGGCGGGUCUCUGGGCCGAUACUGACGCUGAGGAGCGAAAGCGUGGGGAGCGAACAGG